AUAAUGGAAAAAUCCAAACAGAAAAAAAAAUCAAAUUGGAUCUCGUAAAGAAAUACAACUCAGCUAAGUUUGCCAGAACAAUUCUGUUCUAUGUAGGAAUGCACCUCCUAACAACAAAAUCUGAAGACCCCCACCACAGCCACACACCCACAGGCACAGACAUAGAGCUCAAUGUGCACUGAAGGAAAAUCAGACCAGAACUUGAUGCAGAACCUCACUAACCCCAUGGGAGGCAGACACUCUGACCUGCCAGGCCCUGACCUCUGCCUGGAAGCCUAGCCACUGGUGCCAAGACUCUAGAAGGACUCUUAGGCUCUUCAAAGAAGUUGGGGCCUCUGUAUGCAGGAGCUUCACCAAGAAGAAAACUUAGACAAGUCUUCAUUGGUUUUGUUGCUUUAAGCAUUUUUCGGCACUUGUUUGUUUCUGUUGAAUACUUUCUACUCAUGAAGAGUUGUAAGUUCGCUUUCUAAGUUUGUACUCACUGGUUUCUUCUCUCCCUUGUCUGCAAGAUCUUCAAUUUUAAGUAUCUGUUCCUUGAAAUGAAAACAGUAUUUUUAAAAAGCC
rnacentral:lncRNA from 1 species